CGUGGGUAAACCUGCCCCAAGAGAUCGGGGAUAACACCUGGAAACAGAUGCUAAUACCGGAUAACAACAGAUGAUGCCUAUCAACUGUUUAAAAGAUGGUUCUGCUAUCACUCUUGGGAUGGACCUGCGGUGCAUUAGCUAGUUGGUAGGGUAACGGCCUACCAAGGCGAUGAUGCAUAGCCGAGUUGAGAGACUGAUCGGCCACAUUGGGACUGAGACACGGCCCAAAACUCCUACGGGAGGCAGCAGUAGGGAAAUCUUCCACAAUGGACGCAAGUCUGAUGGAGCAACGCCGCGUGAGUGAAGAAGGGUUUCGGCUCGUAAAGCUCUGUUGUUGGUGAAGAAGGACAGGGGUAGUAACUGACCUUUGUUUGACGGUAAUCAAUUAGAAAGUCACGGCUAACUACGUGCCAGCAGCCGCGGGUAAU
rnacentral:rRNA from 1 species